UACAGAGGUCCCGAGCGUUGUUCGGAUUCACUGGGCGUAAAGGGUGCGUAGGCGGUCGGGUAAGUCUGAUGUGAAAUCUCACAGCUUAACUGUGAAACUGCAUUGGAUACUAUUCGGCUUGAGAGUUGGAGGGGGGACUGGAAUUCUUGGUGUAGCAGUGAAAUGCGUAGAUAUCAAGAGGAACACCAGUGGCGAAGGCGGCCGGCUGGGGGUGCCCUGACGCUGAGGCGCGAAAGCGUGAGGAGCGAACCGG
rnacentral:rRNA from 1 species